rnacentral:rRNA from 1 species
UACAGAGGUCCCAAGCGUUGUUCGGAUUCACUGGGCGUAAAGGGUGCGUAGGCGGUCGGGUAAGUCUGAUGUGAAAUCUCACAGCUUAACUGUGAAACUGCAUCGGAUACUAUCCGGCUCGAGGAAUGGAGAGGAGACUGGAAUACUUGGUGUAGCAGUGAAAUGCGUAGAUAUCAAGUGGAACACCAGUGGCGAAGGCGAGUCUCUGGACAUUUCCUGACGCUGAGGCACGAAAGCCAGGGGAGCAAACGGG